GAGCUGUCGAAGGUGGGACUGGCGAUUGGGACGAAGUCGUAACAAGGUAGCCGUACCGGAAGGUGCGGCUGGAUCACCUCCUUUCUAAGGAG
rnacentral:rRNA from 5 species